GCCCUCGUAGCUCAAUCGGUAGAGCGUGAGACUCUUAACUCUCAUAAGAAGGCGGUGAUCUCAAGGCUGUGGGUUCGAUCCCCACCGAGGGCU